UUAAGUCUAUUCCUGAGUCUUUUGAGAAAUGUGUAUACUGUAUAUUGUAAUUGGCUAUAAUGUUAUAGUUGUCACGGAGUGUCUCGUGUGCCCCACAAGUUGUCGCGGUCUUUCAGUCAUGUCCCACCAUGAGUUUUCGACAGGUAAUGCAACUCGGAACGGAACUAGUUUGAUCGUACAGCUACGCAGGAUUUCGCGUACAUCACAAGUAUUGUGAAACUAUGGCAAUAACUAUGAUAUGAUUAGAUGAACUUGUUCUGCACGAGAUUUAACUGGUAGAUUUUAGAUGAAAUGUCCGUACCUGUCCACUCUCUCUUUGGCUGUGUCGCAGGAGGAAGGAGUCCUGUUUUUUUCCAUAGCUUCUCUUUAUUUUCACCCACUUUGGCUCCUUCUUCCUCUUUAGCCUUACCUUGGUAUAUCCAGAUUUUAGCUUUAGUUUUAGGUAGAGUUCUUUAAGGUGGAUUGUUUUGUUGUUGUUUAACAACACUGGUUCACCAAUGGGAGAUCUCUUUUGCCCCGGAGUAUCUUUACACGCUAUUCUUGACAAUGAAAGACAUUGAGUAUCAAAUUCAUCGUUGUUUUCUUUCUCUGGCUACUCAAGUAAAGAGAUCCAGUUCGCCAUAUGGAGAGAACUUGCAGUCGGACUUUUUCCUCCAUUCAAAUGCACCUGCUCUGCUUCUUCGUCACAUCGGAAAAGUACCGCGCCAAAGAGCUCGAGGAAUAAAUGCAGUCCGGACAUGAAGAUCUGAAGUUUGCUGCCUAGUUGAAGAUUUGCUUGAUCUCCUAAGGAACUUCGUGGAAAAAGGUUUCAGGCUCGUCGGGCUUGAACUGGGACUCGCAUGUAAAUUAAAUCACGUGGUGCAUUCACGUGAAUCAGAUCCCCUUGUGCAGUGAUCAUCUAUGGCAGCGUCUCGUUCUGCAUCCAUGCUCAACUUGUUCUGUUCCCUCCUCCCAAAUCGGGUACCUAGCUGUUAGGGCUCCUUGAUUGCAGGCUGGAGACCAGAUGGGCGUAAGCGGCGACAGCUGCGAGCCAUUAACAUCAGCCGCCUACAAAAGCCUGAUCAUCGUUGCCGCUCGUCGCCAGACCAACUCUAUCAGCAUUCCCGAUGGGACAGGUCCUGACCUGUACCGUUGCCUGAUAUCACGUCUACGCCUGCCAGCGACCACACAACAUGCACGUGUGCUGCUACGACCCUCGACGCGCCCCUGAAAAUAAACUUUGUAAAUAAUAAUGGAAUUCUACCUUGUCUGCUUUGGGGUCCAAUUCCCAGCGCGCCAUAACACUAGCAGCCACAGACUACAGCAUGCGUGUCCAAACCUGUCCGCAAGGGUCGCUGUGGGUCCUGGUUUUUGUUCCUACCAAUCGAGCACAGACAGUUUAACCAAUGAAGUUUGUGUUAAAACAAGCAGCACCUGACUGCAAUCAACUGAUUACACUUCUAAGACACCAGAUUGGUGAAAAGAUGUCAUCUUGUUUUGUAGGAAUGAAAUCCAGCACCCACUGCGGCCCUAUGUGGAAUAGUUUGGACACCAAUGGACUACAGUAAUAGGGCAGAAGGUGGGUCCCACACUUUUCUGUAUGG